rnacentral:rRNA from 1 species
UACGGAGGGUGCGAGCGUUGUCCGGAAUCACUGGGCGUAAAGGGCGCGUAGGCGGCCUGAUAAGUAGGGGGUGAAAUCCUGAGGCUUAACCUCAGGGCUGCCUUCUAAACUGUCAGGCUCGAGCACAGUAGAGGCAGGUGGAAUUCCCGGUGUAGCGGCGGAAUGCGUAGAGAUCGGCAGGAACACCCAGGGGGAAACCAGUCGACUGGGCAUCUACUGACGCUGAGGUGCGAGAGCGUGGGGAGCGAACCGG